AAGUAAACAGCACAGUCACAUUUUUCAGGCAAUGCGACAUAGAAGACACAAAAUCUAUCAGUGUCAAUAUUACCACUGUAAAUCUGUUAUUGACCUUCACUAUUUGUAACAUUUUGUUUCGUCUGUACUCCGAACACAGUAGCAACCUUAUCACUGCAUUAGGAACCAGAGAAAUUAAAGGUCCAGUGACUGAUACAAAUGAAAAAAAUAAAAUAAUACAAAACUAAUCACCAAAUAUUUACCAGCACAAACAUAAACUGAUUGAUAGUCUGGUGCUGGCACAGACUGCACUGUGGAAAGUCUCACAUUUUGGGGUAAUUUCAAAGAUUUCUGAAUAUGCAUUGACUGAAGAAUGGAAUUCAAUUUGUAUCUGAAUAACUAAGCAGUUUUAUUGUCCAGGAUGUAAUAUAUAUUUCAGUAGCAUCAAAAUCUACAGUAAAUACCAAACACUUUUUUUCCAUGAAGGAACUCCAUAAGAUUAUAGGGCUUACACAUUAACCUCAUACAUUCAGUUUAAACUGUAUUAAAUCGUGUACUAAUGAGGUCAAAUUACAUGCCCUGGGGUCAUGAUUGUGUUCAUGCAUGCAUACAAAUACAACACUAUGUGAUACCUAAGCCUCCAAUCUGGGAAAAACUCCCUUUUCAGUGUUGAACCUGAGCCUGCUGCUCCUUUAUGUCCGUGGAGUACGUGAAGACUUUAACACCAAAUCCCAUUCAAAAUUUUGCAUUUUAAACUUGCUUUAUUAGCAAGCGACAACAAUUUUGCAUUAUAAUAUAUGCUGAAUAGUUCGGUCCUUUUUGGUAAAUUCGGCAUUCGGAAGUGACACAGUACUUCAUCUGAACUAAUGAACAAAAAGGUAAACCUGUGCAUCGAGACAAAUCAGGUCAUUCUAGCUCAAACUUGAACAAUAUAAAAGGGGGGCAGACUAGCCACGGACCAAGUUUCUGAUGUUCAACUUCUUAAUGCAGUGGAGGUGACCAUUGAUUGUACUAGCUAUGAAGUUGCAGUAUGUGUCAAUGUUAAAAAGACGUUUUAAAAAGGAAAUAAAACGGAAAGCUCCUUGAUCACAUGAUCUGCAGGGUACCGAGUGAUCUACGAUAUGAUCACACACAGUAGUUUUUGACCUCCUGUCGCAGUGCACCCGACACUGUUCUCAACAGCUUUUGAGAACACCGGCCGACACAUGUCCCUUUCACCUGACCUCUCUGCCUCACGUCUCUCUCCAUCCAACACCUUCGGGAUGAACUGAAACUGAAGACAGUGAGCCAGGCUUUAUCACCCAACAUCAGUGUUGGACCUCACUGAUGCUUUUGUGGCGGAAUGGGAGCAAAUCUCUACAGCCAGUUUCCAAAAUACGGUGUAAGGCCUGAAACCAUUUGGAGUGGAGGCUGUCGUAGCAGCAUAGUUAACAAGUUUAUUAGUUUAUGUGAGACAAAUUGUGCACACUGGAACAAUACUUUAGGCUUUAGGAAUUAUUCGUUUUUUCUUGCUAAUUCAGUAUUCAAUUUUGGCAACCCAAGAAACAACUUAAAAUGUGCAAUAUAAAUUGUGUCUCUUUGGAACUGUUCUCCUUGUUCAAAUGUUUGAACAUACAUUUCGAACAGCAGACCAAAAGCAAAAGUGAUUGGUGGUUCCUAGUUAUGUUGUUUUCUUAUUAUCUAGA